AGAGAGAGACGCUUGUUUUUGGUUGAGUCCAUUAUGUUUUAUUUAGGGGUGAAAUGUAAAACCUUUAUUUACAAUUUAUAUAACAUUUAAUGUUUUCGGUAAUUUUAAGAUUUGUGUUAAUUCUGGAAUUGUUUCAACAUAUUUUUUCGGGGAUUAAAUUGUGAUUAAAACAAUUAAAGUCAGAACUGCAAUGGAAAUAACUUAGUCCACACCUAUGUUGAUUUGAUCACGUGACAAUGUAAGCCAAUGAAAAAACAUCAACAAACAGGCAGCCAUUAAGGAAGAGAGAGGGUUUAUUUCAGAGCGAUAAUUUAAAUGUACUAGCAAGUUUAAACUGCAUUAUGUGCUUGUGAAGUUUAAAAGUUAAGUGUAGAUGUGUUUAUGGAGUUCAAGUAUUGGUAUUGGCACAACUAAGGCGUUGGGAGGCACAGAUAUAGCGAAGUGUUCAUGUUUGGCUUUGUGGAGUUGAAGAGUCGAUAUUGGCAAAUUUGGAACAUUGGUAGAUUGGGAUAUAGAAAAGUGUGCGUGUUAUUGGCAAAUGUAGAACAUAGGAAGAUAAGGUUAUAGUGCAUUGUGCAGGCACUCCACCAUGCACUCUUGAUGUAGAGUACUCCUACCCUUUGGAUUAUGCCCAGCAAGUGCACUAUCCCAAUUCCCUAUUCUCAAUAUGUUGGUUCAAUAUGUAUUAGGACACCAAGAAAGUUCCAUGAGAUUUGUGUUUGUGCAGAGGGAUCAGGACUUAAUGGAAGUGUCAGUCUCAACAUGCUCUGGAAAGGGGAGAAACAAUGCAACAGGUUGCCAGUAUUGUCCUGCAGACAUCAAGACAUGGUCACAAUAUCCCACUGCUUAUAGAUGAUCUAAAAAGCCAUUGAAAGUCAUUUUAAUAGUAAAACCCCUGAGGCCUGCUGCUAUAAGGACUAAUGCUAUAUUGACUAGUGUGUGGAUCAUAUUAAUUAAUGGUUGCCUAUGUCAGCUUACCAGUAACUUACUUCCAUAAUGUUAAAACUUUUCAUGUGAUUGUGUUUUGUGUAAUACAACAUUUGUCAUGUCACUUUAAGUAUAGAAUUGCAUUGAACAUAUGCAUUUCAUGAAUUGAUCAACUGUAAUCCUGUCUUUAUAAGUUUUUAAAGUCUUGAUUUCAAGAUAAAUAAACAGUUUUAGUUGUUUGUGUGACUAUAUCUCAUUGAAAAUGACUGCAUUAAAUGUGAAGUGAUAAGCUUCAGUACUUGCUGUCAAGUUUUAAAUAUUUUAUACUUUUAGGAUAUGAAAACUAUUUUAUCUAUGACAAUGAUAGAUGAGUGAAUUUUUUAUGUUGAUAUUAGUGUAGAAUGACUUGGUAAAAUUUGCAUUAAUCCUGAACAGAAGCAUCAAAAUCAAAGAAAUUUGCAUGGUAGCUAGGCAACUAAAAUUUCCUUCAGUUAAAAAGGAUUUUUAACAGGAAGAACAUAUUAAUAUUAAAAAGACUCUGUAUGUUUGAUAUCAUUGUAACUCUUUCAGAACUUAAUCUCCUGCAUGCCUGAAAAUUUGGAAAUUUAGAAAUUUAUAACAAAAUAAUAUAUGAUAACUCGAAGUGCAGUGCAGUGCAAAAGAAUUGGUACUGUGAACUUCUUAUUUUUUGAGUAAUUGCCGUUUGUUAAUUUUCAUACUUCAAAUUUUGUCUGGGCCAUUUCUCUUCAACUAUAAAACCUAUGGACUUAAACUUCAUAGAAUGAUAGAUCUCAUUUAGAAAAAGUGCAUUGCACAAGGACUGGUACUUUGAACUUCAUAAUUUUUGAGUUAUGGUCCUUUGUUAAUUUUCAUAUUUUACUUUUGUCCAGGUCAUUAUACCCCCACCACAAAAUGUGGGGGGGGGCUAUAAUGGAUUCGCUUUGUCGCGUCGGUCGGUCGGUCCGUCCGUCUCCAUUUUCGUGUCCGCUCUAUAACUCCUAUACCACUUGAAGGAUUUUCUUCAAACUUGGCUCAAAUGUUCACCUCAGCAAGGGGAUGUGCAGAACCCAUGUUGCCCAUGUGUCAGCUCAAGGUCAAGGUCACAAUUGAAGGUCAAAUAUCAAACACAAUCAUAUAUUAGACAGUAUGUCGUGUCCGCUCUGUAGAUCCUACAAUAAUUGAAAGAUUUUCUUCAAACUUGGCUAAAAUGUUCACCUCAACAAGGGAAUGUGCAGAACUCAUGUUGCCCAUGUGUCAUUUUAAGGUCAAGGUCACAAUUGAAGGUCAAAUAUCAAACAAUCAAAUAUUACACAAUAUGUCGUGUCCGCUCUGUAAGUCCUACACUAAUUGAAAGAUUUUCUUCAAACUUGGCUCAAAUGUUCAUUUCAACAAUGGGAUGUGCAGAACCCAUGUUGCCCAUGUGUCAGCUCAAGGUCAAGGUCACAAUUGAAGGUCAAAUAUCAAACAAUCAAAUAUUACACAGUAUGUCGUGUCCGCUCUGUAAGUCCUACACUUAUUGAAAGAUUUUCUUCAAACUUGGCUCAAAUGUUCACCUCAACAAGGUUAUGUGCAGAACCUAUGUCACUCUUUUGCCGGCUUAAGGUCAAGGUCACACUUGAAGGUCAAAAAUUAACUUAGAAAAUGUUCUUUAAUUUUAACAUAUAUCUGAAUAUUUCUGAAUCUAGAAAAGGUAUUUGCUUGAAACUUAAAAUAUAAAUGAAGUGUCACAAUUAAGAUAUGCUGGUCAAGUUUCAUAACUCUGUAUUGCAUUUUAACAAAGUUGUGCCCCUUUUUAAUCUUCAAAUUUACAUACAAUCAUAUUAGACAAUAUGUUGUGUCCGCUCUAUAAAUCCUUUACUAAUGGAAGAAUUUUCUUCAAACUUUUCUCAAAUGUUCACCUAAACAAGGUUAUGUGCAGAAUCCAUGUCACCUUUGUGCAGGCUAAAGGUCAAGGUCAGACUUGAAGGUCAAAAAUUGACUUAGAAAAUGUUCUUAGAUUAAAACAUGUUCUUGAAAUUAUUUCGGAAACUAGCAUAGGUAUUUGCUUGAAACUUAAAAGAUAUAUGAGGUGUCACAAUUACGAUAUGCAGGUCAAGUUUCAUAACUCUGUAUUGCAUUUUGACAAAGUUAUCCCCCUUUUUAAGUCUUUAAAUUUACAUACAAUCAAUACUAGACAAUAUGUUGUGUCCGCUCUAUAAAUUCUAUACUAAUGGAAGGAUUUUCUUCAAACUUUACUCAAAUGUUCUCUCCAAUUGGGCGAUGUGCAGAACCCAUCAUACCCUUGUGCCAGCUGAAGGUCAAGGCCACACUUGAAGGUCAAAAAUUGACUUAUAAAAGUUUAGUAUAUUGGGAAAAUGAAAGGUUAUUUGUAACUGUUUCGAACAUGAUUUGAUAAUAGAUAUUUUUACUAUUACCUGUACAAUUAGUCUUUUUUUCACCAGAGAUAAUUUCUUUUUAUGUAUUUGUGCCACUUAAGUUAUUCCCUUAACCACCUUUCCAAGUUGUCUUCUGUCAAGGACAUUGGUGGGGGUAUGAAUCGCAUUCAGCGAUAGUUCUAGUUACUCCUAAAGUACAAAAGCUAUGGACAUGAAACUUCAUAGGAUGAUAGAUCUCAAUAAAAAAUGUGCAUUGUACAAGAACCAAUAAUCUGCAUUUCUUAUUUUUGAGUUAUUGCCCUUUAUUAAUUUUUCAUAAAUUAUAAGAGCUAUGGACUUGAAACUUCAUAGGAUGAUAUAUCUUAUUGAUAAGAAGUAUAGUGCAAAGAAAAUGCUGCUCUGCACUUCUUAUUUUUUGAGUUAUUGCCCUUUGUUAUUUUUCUUGUUCUGGCCAUUUCUCCUUAACUACAUUGUUCACAAGGCGACAUAUCCGACUCGUGAAGUUCUGGUUCAUUCAAAUAGCCAGUUGUGCACUUAAAAUUUGUUAAAUUUAAAACAAAAUUAUGGAAUAUAUUGUGGCUGCUUGGCAACACUGAUUGAUUUUAGCUUGACUGUUCGAUUAAAAUAAGUAGAGCUUUUGUAGUCACCCAAACGUCGGUGUAUACGUAACAACUUAUGUCGAAGUUUUUACGAUAUACCUCAAAUAUUUUCAAAGUCCAUUGCCAUAUGGCUUUGAAAAUUUCCACAAUUGUUCGCCAUCAUGAUUCCAACCUGUAGACAGGAGGAGGUGACUGUAUCAAGCAUUUUAGAAUAAUUUUUUUACUUAGUAUUUACGUUAUAAAGUUUUUGUAAUACCUCAAAUAUUUUCAAAGUCCAUUCACAUAUGGCUUUGAAACUUUGUGCACUUAUUCACCAGCAUGACCCUUACCUGUAGACAGGAGCAGGUAACUGUACUAAGCAUUUUGACAGAAUUAUGCCCCUUUUUUCGACUUAGAAUUUACAUUUAACUUUGCAUAUUACCUCAGAUAUUUUCAAAUUCUAUUGACAUUUAGCUUUGAAACAAGUUGAAAUUUUAUACUCUUCUUUGAGAGCAUAAUAGGACUCUCUUCAAGGCGUACUGUAACAUGGUUUUAAAGGAAAAUUAUUCCCUUGUUAACUAAGAAAAUUUUACAUUAUCGAGGCCUUUUUACUGUCAAGCACUAAUAAUAGUCCAGCAUUGCUUCCCUACCUACAGUUCUUGUUUCUAAUUGUUUAGGUAUUAAGUAAACCAGUUAUACAGCAGAUAGAUAGAUAUAUAUUAUAUUAUAUGGAAAUUAACACUUGAUCAAACAAUAACAUGCAGGCAAAAAUACUGAGUUUCUGCUAAAAUUAACAUGGUUUUCUAUCACUAGUCAAGUGUACAGAACCUGUAUGUAAUAUCUUAAAUGAAAGAUUUUUUAAAAGUAAAUAAUAGACAUUGUAAUUUUAUUGAAAAUUAAUUUAUCUCUGCUGCUUUGUUAGCUGUAAUUUGCAAAGUAAUAUGUGAAAACUUUAAAA